rnacentral:tRNA from 2 species
GCCGCCAUCGUCUAGUCUGGUCUAGGACGCCAGGUUCUCAUCCUGGAAAUCAGGGGUUCGAAUCCCCUUGGCGGUACUA